GGGGCUGUAACGGCUUCGACAUUCUGCCGAAAGCUGUCCAAGCAGGCCGGGAGUGAGUCCGACCCCGUAAAAUCAGGCUCAAACCAAAGUAAGUGCGAACAACAUCGUUCCCUUCUCCCGCGCUCGCGUAGCGGUCGCUGCGUAAAACGUGGGGCUCACGAAACGGACCCACGACGGGUCGUGAGCAACGGCUAGUGGGCGCUCCGGCUGACGUCCUCUACUGCGUCGCUGGCUAAGAUCAGGUAGAGAUUCCCCGCUGUCUGGGACAAAGCCAGCCCCCGCUUCUUGGGUCAAUGGAGCUAAGCCUGUGAAUGAUUGGUAGGUCAAUAGGCACGGAUGGACAGGGGUUCGACUCCCCUCAGCUCCACCA
rnacentral:tmRNA from 1 species